rnacentral:rRNA from 1 species
GACGAACGCUGGCGGCGUGCUUAACACAUGCAAGUCGAACGGAAAGGCCCUGCUUUUGUGGGGUGCUCGAGUGGCGAACGGGUGAGUAACACGUGAGUAACCUGCCCUUGACUUUGGGAUAACUUCAGGAAACUGGGGCUAAUACCGGAUAGGAGCUCCUGCUGCAUGGUGGGGGUUGGAAAGUUUCGGCGGUUGGGAUGGACUCGCGGCUUAUCAGCUUGUUGGUGGGGUAGUGGCUUACCAAGGCUUUGACGGGUAGCCGGCCUGAGAGGGUGACCGGCCACAUGGGGACUGAGAUACGGCCCAGACUCCUACGGGAGGCAGCAGUGGGGAAUAUUGCACAAUGGGCGGAAGCCUGAUGCAGCAACGCCGCGUGCGGGAUGACGGCCUUCGGGUUGUAAACCGCUUUCGCCUGUGACGAAGCGUGAGUGACGGUAAUGGGUAAAGAAGCACCGGCUAACUACGUG